GCCAGGGUAGCUCAGUGGUAGAGCAGUGGACUGAAAAUCCAUGUGUCACCGGUUCAAAUCUGGUUCUUGGCA
rnacentral:tRNA from 1 species